rnacentral:rRNA from 1 species
UACGUAGGGGGCAAGCGUUGUCCGGAAUCAUUGGGCGUAAAGCGCGCGUAGGCGGCCCGGUAAGUCCGCUGUGAAAGUCAAAGGCUCAACCUUUGAAUGUCAGCGGAUACUGCCGGGCUAGAGUCCGGAAGAGGCGAGUGGAACUCCUGGUGUAGCGGUGGAAUGCGCAGAUAUCAGGAAGAACACCAACGGCGAAGGCAGCUCGCUGGGAAGGAACUGACGCUAAGGCGCGAAAGCGUGGGGAGCGAACAGG